AUUGAACGCUGGCGGCAGGCUUAACACAUGCAAGUCGAGCGGAGAGAGGUAGCUUGCUACUGAUCUUAGCGGCGGACGGGUGAGUAAUGCUUAGGAAUCUGCCUAUUAGUGGGGGACAACAUUUCGAAAGGAAUGCUAAUACCGCAUACGUCCUACGGGAGAAAGCAGGGGAUCUUCGGACCUUGCGCUAAUAGAUGAGCCUAAGUCGGAUUAGCUAGUUGGUGGGGUAAAGGCCUACCAAGGCGACGAUCUGUAGCGGGUCUGAGAGGAUGAUCCGCCACACUGGGACUGAGACACGGCCCAGACUCCUACGGGAGGCUGCGGUGGGGAAUAUUGGACAAUGGGCGGAAGCCUGAUCCAGCCAUGCCGCGUGUGUGAAGAAGGCCUUAUGGUUGUAAAGCACUUUAAGCGAGGAGGAGGCUACUUUAGUUAAUACCUAGAGAUAGUGGACGUUACUCGCAGAAUAAGCACCGGCUAACUCUGUGCCAGCCGCCGCUGUAA
rnacentral:rRNA from 1 species